rnacentral:rRNA from 1 species
CAGUAGCCACGGUAAUACGGAGGGUGCAAGCGUUAAUCGGAAUUACUGGGCGUAAAGCGCACGCAGGCGGUCUGUCAAGUCGGAUGUGAAAUCCCCGGGCUCAACCUGGGAACUGCAUUCGAAACUGGCAGGCUAGAGUCUUGUAGAGGGGGGUAGAAUUCCAGGUGUAGCGGUGAAAUGCGUAGAGAUCUGGAGGAAUACCGGUGGCGAAGGCGGCCCCCUGGACAAAGACUGACGCUCAGGUGCGAAAGCGUGGGGAGCAAACAGGAUUAGAUACCCGCGUAGUCCCUGUCUCUUAUAC